CACUUGAACCCGGGAGGUGGAGGUUGCAGUCAGCUGAGAUCUCACCACUGCACUCCAGCCUGGAUGACAGCAAGACUCUAUCUCAAAAAACAAACAAACAAAACCAAAACAGUAUCUCAUGCUUCUUAUUGGCUGUGACCAAGUAACUUCAUUGCUUUCAACCUUGAUCUGCUCACCUGUAAAACUGAGACCUUAUUAUUUGUUGUGAGAUUUAAAACACAAACAUGUUCAUUUCCUUCCUCUUUGGGGCUCAGAAGGAAUCAGAUGGGCGUCUUGCAGCUCCGAGCCUGAUGAAGAAUUGUAGCUGCUGUGCCUCAAGACAGAUAAGCACAGGUGGUCCCAGUGGGGAUGCCACCUUGGGGACUGUGAACCUCCGCUGAGGCCAGGCCGUGCCCUGUGUCUGUAUCCCGAACUGCGGGAUUUCUCUGAUCCGCCAGGGAAAGGCCUGCCACCUCGUGGCCGCUUCAGGAACUGCUCCAAAGGCAGUCUGCUCUUGGGAACCUACCUGCUUAGGUAGCUCGCUGAGGUCUGGAACUGCAGCACAGUGCAAGUUAUCUUCACGUGGAGGUGAAGCUGCCUGUGUGGAAGACUCUUGGAUCAGUCGUCUGAGCACAUGUCCAGCAAUGGGCAUGAGUGGCCUAGCCAGGGACUUGGGGUGCCGGAAGAGCCGACUGUACAGCACGUGGUGCCCCUAGCAAGGAUUGGGUGGUGGUUAAAAAGGAAAAAACGUCGUGCAGAUGGUCUGACGGCCUGUCGACCGUGGGCGUGGUGCUCAUAGCAGCUGAGCACUGCCGGGGUACCAGGCUGUGUGCUGGAUGCUUCAAAGGUGUCCUCUUGUGGAUCAGCCCAACUGUGGCGAGGAGGGGACUGGGCUCAGCCAGGUUAGAUGUGACUUGCACAAGGUCAUGUGGGUGAAAGGAAGGCAGAAUUCUUAUGUAUUUCUCCUGACUGAUCCCAGGUUUUGCGUCAGGACUGAAGACAGAACCCACAUGUGUCCAGCACAGGGUGAUUGCUGCCAUGAGCGGCAUUGCUCUGACCCUUCGGUGAGGGCACGGAUUUUCAUCCUUGUAUUCGACUUUGAAAGAAGCAAAUUUAGAAAGAUACAAAUAUGAUGGGCAUGGCAGACGGAAUUCUAAAGGUGGGCCCACUGACUCGUACCCCUGGCUGUUCAGUGAAACACUAGCCUAGAUGCUGCUGUGCAGGGACUUUGAUGAAGGAAUGAAAGUCCCAAGCCAUCUGACCUUGAGAUCAGAGAUGAUCUGGUGGGCUUGAUCUCCUGAGCCUAAUGAAAGCAAGGAGCUUUUCCAGCUGUCAGCAGAAAGGAAGGUCAAAUUCAAUGUGUGAGAAAGACUGGAAUUAACAUGUCUGGUUUGAAGGAGGAAGGGGUUGUGUGGGAAGGUGUGUGGGUGACUUAUAGGAGCAAGGAGUGGCCCCCAGCCAUGGAAUGAGGACCCCAGGCCUGCAGCCACCAGGAGCUGGACUUUCGGGGCCACCUGAAUGCAACUGGAAGCGGAUGCUCCCCCAGAGCCUCCAGUUGCUACAAUCAACAUCCCCGGACCCAUCACACAGAAGAAACCAAGGCUCCCAGGUUAAGAGACUUGCCUGGAAAAGCGUUAACUGACAGCUUGGCAGCAGAGCCACCACUCCUUCCCCCUCGCAUGCUGGUUCCAAACCGAAAAUGAUGUUCUGGCACUCUAGCAGAGCUUUGAUCCCUGCUGAAUACAGUCUGCACGCAGGAAGUGUGAGCUGGUUCUGAUAUUGGUGGAACAGCUGGACUGUAAACCUGCAGCAUGGGAGUCCUCAGGAGCUGCCUCAUUUAGAAGCAUCCGGGCUGUCAUCGUUUUGACCUUGUGCCUCUCUAACCGAGAAAUGACAGAGCCGAGCAAAGCCGGGAAAGAUGCAGGAACGAGGCCUGGCAGCCCUGAAUCAGUUUCUCCAAGAAACAGGCCUGAGGUUUGAAGCGAUUCAGGUUAGAAAUCAAUGAGGAGAUUUUUUUUGGUCUCCACUAAUUUAUUAGAUAAUCAGGUGAAAUCCAAGUGUACCAUGCUAAAGAUGUCUGAACGUUAAAAUUGCUUUUUCGUUUUUGAUGGGCCAUUGGACUCCUGGGCAUCUACCCAAAGGAGCUGCAAGUAGGGACUUGAGCAGACACGUCUUUGCCGGUGUUCACGACAGCACGGUUCACACUGUCCAGGAGGUGAAAACAACCCAGAUGGCCAGCAGUGAUGACCAGACACACAAAACGUGGUGUAAACAUACAGUGGAAUAUUAUUCAGCCUUAAAAAAGAACGAAAUUCUGACACGUUCUGCAACAUGGAUGAGCCUUGAGGAGAUUACACUCAGUGAAAUAAGCCCGACGCAAAAGAGCAACGAUUGUCCGCUGAUAUGAAAUAUCCAGACUAGGCAGGUAUUACACAGAGACAGAAAGUAGAACGGUGGGUGUCGGGGCUGGGGGAGGGCGGCCGGGAGUUAGUGUUUAAUGGGGACAGAGUUUCUGUUUGGGAAGACGAGAACGUCCUGGAGAUGGAUAGCAAUGUGAGUGUGCUUAAUGCCCCUGAACUGUACACCUAAAAGUGGCUAAGAUGGCAAAUUUUAUGUUAGAUAUAGUUUGCUGCAAUUAAAAAAAUUAAUAAUGUAAAAACCUACCUGGGAUGGGUUUGCAAAAGUUCUGCCAGAAACAGGAAUGGAUGUGUUUAGGAGAAUCUGGGCAGAGAGCCAGGAAUGGAAGCCAGUUAAACCUCUUUGAGAACUCGUACUUCGGCAGUUUUAAUUUCUUGUAAGUAGUAAAAUAUAUAAGACCAACAAAUUAAAUGCUUCUCCCCAAAACAAAAUUGGCACAAUUUAUGACUCAUUUACAUUGUAAAUCUACAAUUAAGAUGGGAAAUGAACCAAUUCUGGCCACCUGAACUGGUGAGACAAGUUGAAUUUUGUCCCCCAAAAUUCAUAUGUUGAAAUUCAAACUCCCAGCAUCCCAGAAUGUGACCUGAUUUGGAGAUGGGGCCUCUGCUGAGACAAUCAACUUAAAAUGAAAUCAUUAGGGUGGGCCUUAAUCCAGGAGGACUGGUGUCCUUAUAAAGAGGAGCGAUUUGGAGAGACACACACCGGGAGAGCGCCACAUGAAGAUGAAGGCAGAAAGUGGGGAGAUGCUUUCAUAAGCCAAAGACUGCCCAGGCUUGUGAGCAAAAACAGCCUCCGGAAGCUGGAAGAGAGCCUUGCAACAGAUUCCUCCUAGCACCCCUAGAAGGAACCCCCACUGCCAACAUCUUGAUUUGGAACUUGCAGCCUCCGAAACUGUGAGAUGAUAAAUUUCUGUUGUUGAAGCCACCCAGUUGGUGGUACUUUGUUACAGCAGCCUUAGAAACUAAUACAAGUACAUAAAACACCAGAAAGAUUUUCCCUUUCCCUGUAUUGUGUUCGGAUUUCCCACUGCUCAUAAAGACUCCCCUCAUAUUGGCUUAGGGCCUGCCAUAAUCUCCAGUGUGAUCUCAUCUUAACUCGUGACAUCUGCACAGCCCCGUUCCCAAUAAGGUCAGAAGGACAGGUAGUGAAGGUUAGGACUUCAACAUGGUUUUUGAGGAUCCUAGUCAACCCAUAACAGUCCACACUCAGGUUCCUUCAAAUUCAUGUCCUUCCCACAGGCGAAAUGCCUUCACCCCAUCCUAACAUUCCCCAAGGUCUUAAGUCUUCUAGAGUCAACUCUGGGUCCAAAAUCUCAUCGAACUCCCAUGAUUAACUCAAAGUCCCAAAUCUCUGUCCUCCUCUGUUGUUUCGGGCCUUGCACAGAGGAGUGCCUGGUGAACAUGUGGUGGAGGAUACAGAAACCCACGUGGAUUCCAGGUGGUGACUUUUGUGUCAUUACAGAAGUCUAGUGCACAUUAGGAAGACAGUGCCAAUGGUCUUGACUUAACGUUUACUGCACACCUACUGUGUGCAGGGGUCCUGGGGACCCCACAGAUGAAAACAUAAGCACAUGAUCAGAAUACAGUGUAAAGCUGGGCUUCAUCUAUUACAGUGGGCACCAUACAGUUUUACACUCGUGUACCUAAAACAACCCGGACAAGGCACAGGAUUGAUUUUCAAUUUUGUAAAACAGAGCAAAAGUGCUUUUAUUGAUGUUUCGUUUCUUUUUCCUGAGAUCUUACCUCCCUAGACAGAACUAAAAACUGUUUUUAUAUUAAAGGUCUGUGCUUCAGACUUUAAAAAUAUCUGUAGAAUCUGUAAUAAAGUUAUCCAUUUCAUUUAUGAUAAUG